GAGAGGCAGGCGCUCAGUCGGUGUAGAGUUGGGCUCGGACGGAAGUGAUGAGAGUGAAAAUACCCUGUGUGACAGACUUGAAGAAAUGGCAUCGGCAGGACAGUGAAUCCUGCUGAUUCACAAGAAGAGGAAUGUGUUCACUUCCUGAUGUGUGCGACUCCAUGAAGAUCACUUCCAUCAGAUGCUGUUACGGCCAAUUUUGAAGUGAAGAUGAAAGACUUCAGUUCCUCUGAUUAAUGAGGUGGUGGUAAUGCAAUAAAGCAGAUCCUCUCAGUUUAUGCUCCAGCUUAUACACACAGCGUGAUCAUGUAUAACAUAACCAGAGACAUGUUUGCCCUGUGGACAGUGGACUCAUUCUGCCACUGUCCUGUGUCAUUAUGUCCCUCUGCUGAGCGACCUGACCUCUGGGGUUUGAGCGAUGUCCCCAUCCUCGCCCGCCCCCCUCCCCCCACUCGUCUGACUGUCUGUCCUCCCUCCUCUACGCCCUGCCUCGUCUUGUCAGCUCGGCUCACAGUCACACUCCUGCUCGCCUCGGUGAACAUUCAACGCUGUCGGUGAGUUUUGGUAUGGAUCACAUAAAAACCAUCGACCGUUGACUGUGCCCCGAGGCCUGCUCUGACGACGACGACGACGGGAAUGAGCGAAAAAAAAAAAAAGAACAAAAGGGCAAAGUGGGCGCAUGCAAAACCCAGACACGAAGACACACACACAUGCACAAAAGUGACACUCUGUUUCCACUGUACCCAAAGACCAAAGGUCACAAUCAACAUUCAUUGCUGUCGCUGGGUUGGACUGUGUAGAAAAGCUCACUGAACAAUGAGUGCAACUGUGGCCCAGAUCUGCCUGACUCGCGUCUCAGCCAAUCAGCCGACCGGAUGUGAAACACUCUGAUUUCUUUAUUUAUAUACUUCUUGUUUUUCACUUCUAUUUUCUCCUCUCUUCCUCCCUCCCCGGCGCUGGAUAGUCUUCAGGGGAAGAGAGAAGGAGGGAGAGAGAUAGAGACACAAAUAGACUUCUGGCGGCUUGCUUGUCCUCAUCCUCCUCUCCUCUCCUCUAAUUGGUGGUUAUGUGUGCAGCAAGGGGGAAGGAAGCGGAGUGAAUGUGUAAUCAUUUGGAGUCUCUUCUCCUUUAGAUGUUUCAUCCCUCUCUUUUUUGUUUGUCUAAUUAUAUACCGAGCUCAGUUAACUCUGUGUUAACGGCGCUGGCAAGAAUGAGCGAGUGACAAAGAGAGGAAGGACAAGGGUGGGAGGGGGGCAAAAAAGGUGGAGAGAUUAUAGUGCCAGGAAAAUUAUUAUCUAGUUUUUAGCAGAUUUAUUCUAAUGUUCUCCCUGGUGGUGCUGCAAAUGUGCCAGGAUAUACGCAAUUUUCAAAUGCAGAAAGAAGAUUGUUUUCACCUUUCUGACUGAGGAUGUCUCAUUAUCUGUGUUUGAGCUUCAUGAGAGACUGUCUGGUUUCCUGCCUGCCUGCCUCUCUGUGUACGUGUGUGUGUGUGUGUGUGUGUGUGUGUGUGUGUGUGUGUGUGUGUGUGUGUGUGUG